rnacentral:lncRNA from 1 species
CAGGAGGUCAAGGCUGCAGUGAGCUAUGAUCAUGCCGCUGCAUUCCAGCCUGGGUGACAGAGUGAGACCUUGUCUCAAAAAAAAAAAAAAGAAAAAAAGAAAGAAGCUGAUGCUUUCAGAAAGUCCCUGCUUCCAUUUUUGGUCUUACUGACUCUUCUCCAAAAUUUUGUAUCCCAUGCACUCCAUCUCAGGAAACUAUCAGAAGAUGUAAAAGUGCUUCACAGAAAGUGUAAACCAUGAACAAGAAAGACAUGGAAUGCAACACAGAAUAGGUUAAAUAGACAUAAAAGGGAUUCUCAGAAUUAUGGAAAAGUGAAAUCCCAGUGUGAGAGCUUUAC